CGCCUUUUGAACUAUCUGUAUAAAAGGUCCUGCCUGCCCAGUGACAUCUGUUUCAACGGCCGCGGUAUCAUGACCGUGCAAAGGUAGCGUAAUCACUUGUCUUUUAAAUAAAGACCAGUAUGAAUGGCAAGACGAAACCUAACUGUCUCCCUAAGUUAAUCAAUAAAAUUGAUCCUCCCGUGCAGAAGCGGGAAUAAUAGUAUAAGACGAGAAGACCCUGUGGAGCUUUAAACUUAAACUAACAAACCAUAAAUGUACUAGCACCAAGUUUUAGGUUGGGGCGACCAUGAGGUAAAAUACAACCCUCAAGACGUAAAACUAAGAAGGACACUUCAAAUAAAUACCAAUAGCACAAUUGACCCAAUAAUUGAUCAACGAACCAAGUUACCCCAGGGAUAACAGCGCAAUCUACUCAAAGAGCCCUUAUCGACGAGCAGGUUUACGACCUCGAUGUUGGAUCAGGACCCCCAAAUAAUGCAACAGUUAUUAAAGGUUCGUUUGUUCAACGAUUAAA
rnacentral:rRNA from 1 species